rnacentral:rRNA from 1 species
UACGGAGGGUGCGAGCGUUGUCCGGAAUCAUUGGGCGUAAAGGGCGCGUAGGUGGCUUCUUAAGCGUGCGGUGAAAGCCUGGGGCUCAACCCCGGGUCGGCCGUGCGAACUGGGGGGCUGGAGCACUGUAGAGGCAGGCGGAAUUCCUGGUGUAGCGGUGGAAUGCGCAGAUAUCAGGAGGAACACCGGUGGCGAAGGCGGGUCUCUGGGCAGUAACUGACGCUGAGAAGCGAAAGCGUGGGGAGCGAACAGG